GAGUGCUCUUCAGAUCCCUCCAUCUGGCUUAGGUCGUAGAUGAAAGUCCCAGUUACAAUGAAACAAAUAAUUUCAUAAACACAGUGGGGGAGAUUUUUUUUUUUCUCUACAGUGUUCAGGGUACUUUCUGAACAAAUUUUAAUGUAAAUGCCUUUGGAUGUAAACAACAUAGAAAAGCUAGAAACCAUAGUUUUCAGAUUCAUGUAAGAAAAUCAUGGGCUCUGGAGGCGGAGGACAAAAAAUUGAGAGAGGAAAGGAAAAGCUAUCACUUGAUGUUGACCCUUUUACUGAGAUAAGGUGCAAAACAGAAAUAUUCCUCAUAGAGAGUGACAAGUCCACUUACUUAAUUCAUUACUUAUUUUACUUAUUGGAGAAGCUGCUUAUUAGCCUCUGGGCAUAUUGACAAGUGUGAUAGAGAAAAGGCAGUCCCUGCCAUCACAGUUUACAAUCCACAAUAGAUAAUAUACAAACAGGACGCGGUGUUUUUGCAGACAGACACUUGCAUCAGAUACCCUUUAAACGCACAAGAGGAAAGCAGUGAACGUGCACGUGAAGUCACUAGGGUAAAUCAACUUCUGUAGUGAAAGAAGGCAAAUAGUACGCGUCAAGGAACUGGAAACGAGUCUGAGCCACGUUUGACCGUUCUCCACAGUUAACGACAUUAUUCUGGGAGCCAGUGUGACUGCAGCGGAGUCAGGGACUGGGCGCGCCGUGUCGAGACUCGCUGCUUCCCUACGUUGAGGCUGGGCAACACGCAGCAACAGCCCUCACCUUCAUGGGCCGUCAGUCGGGGAGAGGCAAACGGGAGACUUGGCGUCAGCCACAAAUCACGGCCCGUUGUUGGAUUCCGUCUGACCCUUAGCAUCGUUUUAUCUGAGUCCUCUCGGAUUUAAUGUGAUUCCCUUCACGCCACCCUUCCCUCUGGACAAAUACUGAUAUUGUUAUCAUGGUCAUCAUGAUGACUUGGGGCCGACCUAAUACCCUUCUGCCUCCAAACCACAGGACCUUGCCAUGGCCCGGGCGUUCAGAGCCAUCGCAGCGCCUCGUUGACCCGGCUGUACUGGAGCUGAAGCUCCACAGAAGGGAAGCCUCCUUUAGUGCCCCGCCUGCCCUUGCCCCCCCCCACCCUUUGUCUUCAUUGGGGCUUUUUUAACCCCCUGUGGUGCUGCCCCUUCUCCCAAGGAAUUACAAUCCCCAAUAUCCUGGUUUCAGAGGGCGGUAGGGAAGAAGUUGGGCUCCAGUUCGGAGAGGUGAGACCUGUGCACCUGUGCUCAGGUUCACAGCAGGCUUUCCUCCUGCUGGACCCGGGAGUGGGAGAAAAGCCAAAAUCUCCAACCUCCAGUGUACAGGUCUCCGUAAUCCACGGGCAAUUUCAGGAAUUAUAGACGUCCUCUCGGUGUAGGAUGGGCAGAAUGCCCGCCAGGGGUUCGAUGCUGCUCAAGCCCUGUGUUUGGGUUUUUUCUCUACCCAUUGCUUUAUAUCAACCCCUCAGAUACACUUAUAACGAGGCUUUUCUAAUGAUGAGGAGACGGGGAAGAAUCAGUGGUGUGGACACAUUAGCCACACAGGAUGUGUGUGGUCUAGAGAACGUGUAACCGUGAAUUUACGGUUGCUCUCCACCAGCCUGAUGGUGGUGGGAAGGUGAAAAUGGGGGAAGUGGGGAGGGCAUGGCUCAGUGGUAGAGUGUGUGCCUAGCAUGCACAAGGUCCUGGGUUCAAUCCCUUGUACUUCCACUAAAAAUAAAGAAAUAAAAACCUAAUGCCCUCUCUCCCCUCAAAGAAACAAACAAACAAAAAUGGAGGCGGAAAAUGAUGUUAUUAAGGAUGGCUCUGGGAAUGACCUAAAAGGUGGAAAAUUGAUUUUAUGGUGCUUGGACCCUAAAUCUGCUCAUACAGGGUGAAGAACUAGAAGAAACUUUAGAAAUCCCCAGCCGCUUUGUUUUACAGAGAAGAACACCCAGAGUGGGUAUUAACUCAUACAGUUAGUUACAACUGGGACUCAGAACCAGUUUUUCCUGGUAUCAGUUCCACAGUACCACACCCUCAGUGUAGAAUGUCCACAAAUGAAUGGCGUUGACUUUUUCUUGCUUUUCAGAGCCACCUCUCUCUCUCCCUUUAUAUUAUUCAUGCUCACAUCAUUUCCUAUUACUAGUGUUUUCAUUGCUAGGACCAUUUGGCUAUCAUUCAAGGAUCCCCCGCUUGGGUUGUUUCUUGAGUCUGGUAGAAUUUGAAUGGAAUUGAUGGAGUUCGUGAUCACCUAGGAGGUGAGAGCAGGGCUCUGGCUCUGACUGCCAGGGUUCGAAUCCCAGCUCUCCCAUUUACAUGCUGGGUGACAUGGGCGUGUUAUUGGACCCCUUUGCCUCAGCAUCCUAAUCCGUUUAAUAGGAAGAAUGACAGAAGUAUCUGCUUCGUAAGUCUCUCUGCCACAGGUAAUAUAGCCAAAGCCAAUGAAACAGUGCCUGGCGCAUGUUAAGCCUCAUAGUAUGUUUUUGGUUUUGUUAUUUAUUUCCUUCAUCCUCCAGCGGUGACCUCGAGCUACCUAAAAGGUUGUAUAAGUUAACCUCCCACUUAAAGGGGGAAGGGGCCCGUCUGUAACAGUCCUGGAUGACGGAACCUAGCUCUGUGUGGCUCCUCUCCUUGAAAGCCAGCUCACCACCCCCUGUAAUCCUCAUCUUCAUGCGUCUGCGUGGCUCACCGAGUGUUCCUCCUGGUUUCUUAGAGCUUAUGAUUAUGGGCUGCUGGGAGAUUCAGCCAGUGGCUCCUUCAGGGAUGUGGUGGCCAUGUGUUUUCUGAGGGCAGAGGGCAGUGUCUGGUUGUCCACUGGCCCCGCUGGGUUCUGCACCUGCUGGGGCUCACCUUGGCCUAAAGGAUGAUUGUGCUGAAGCACUGAUCCAGGUGAGCUGUGGAAAACAGAAUUUACCAUUUCUUUCUUCUUCUCGCCUUAGGCGUAAUAUUAUUUCAUGAAGGCUUUGAAAAGAGAGUGCUUUUUGAACUUGACUUACUGGUGAACCUGUCUGGCCCAGACUGCCCUGGCAGCGCUCAGUAUCCGCUCUUCCCUUCCUCCUGUAACGCUGUUUGGAUUCUGUUUUUGGAAUAUGAGUUGCCCAAAUGUGUUGUAGUGUGUGUUGGACGACUGUAAGCUCAAAAGGGAGGCGUCAGCUUUUUGUUAAUACACCGCUGUCCUCUGGGCGCAAACUUUGUUUCACGUUACACAACAGUGGGAGGUCAGGACUCCCUGGGACAUUGUUUAAGGUCUUUGUUUUGGGGGUUUGUAUUUUUCAGAGAACGGUACCUCUUUGUGAUUUUCUAGCCUGUCGGGACUUGGAAAGGCCCAGACAUUUGGGGUGGGGACCUGCUGCUCUCAGUUUCUGGGAGAGCAUGGUGUUCCUUGCACUUUGUUGAACGUAGUUCUGUAUGGAUCCGUCCGCUGGCCCCCAGCCUCCUCUCAGCCUCCUAGGUGACAAGAGGCGGUGAUGUCUGUCUUUAGAGAUGGCAACUGUGGGCAGGAGUUAGCUCUUAGGCUGCAAAUAUGCUGAGUGAGCCUCCUUUCUUUCCCCUUCUGGGAGGAGAUGCUGCUUUGAGAAGGUUGAAGUG